rnacentral:rRNA from 1 species
AUGGAGCCCUUGACUGAGGUCGCAUCGCAGUGCGGCUCCGGCAUGGCGGCCAGCCUCGCGCCGUCACGGUGGGCCGACCUGCCAGCGGACCUGCUCAUCGAUAUCUCCGGCCGCCUGCGCGACGUUGUCGACUUCGUCCGCUUCCACGCCGUCUGCAUACCCUGGCGCAGAGCGGCGCCGUCACUGCGAACCCCGGCAGCGACCCACCGCCAUCGGACGUUUCUGCCGUGGCUGCUCGCGAUGUGGGACAACCUCUUUGUGCACUUGCCACUCAACUUCGGAUGCAUCUUGGCCUUGCCGACAUCGAGCGACCGCCAUGGCCGCGACAGCUUCUUCCUGCCGGACGAACCAUCUACCAGCGACGAAAUGAACUGGGUGGUCAGAGAAGAUGGCGCGGCCGUCUGGGCUUUCACGGCGCAUCCCCGGCCAACACUCACCGACCUUCUCACCGGAGCCGUCACCAAGCUGCCUCGAUUUUCGGAGGUGGAUGCUGAUGACGAUGAGAUAAAGUGGCAGAUGAGCGAUUCUCGUGGCAUUGUGUACCGCGAUGGCACCGUCUUUGUGUACGAUUUUUACUCGCGCGUCUUCAGGGCGGCCAUCCUGCGUCCUGGUGAUACCACGUGGACUACUGCGGAAAGAAGUCUGACUUUGUUGGAGAAAGGCUGCCAUCUGAGUGCUGCAUAUCACGAUGGCAAGAUCCUAGUCUGCGUGAGGCUGAACCUUUGGUUUAUACUCAAGCCGGACUUCGAAGGCAAAGGAGUCGCCGCCGGCGGCGAGCUCGACAUGAUGAGUGACGCAAGGGAUGGAAUAAAGCGCCAUAGCUAUGUCUUCGAGUCACGUGGUGAGCUAAUGUGGGCGACCGUCCUGGCCGAGCAGGACUGGUGCUCUGGUCGCACAGGGCAUGACCCGACGGGCGCAGUCUCGGUGACGGUGCAUGCUCUCGAAAGGGCCUACGGUGGUGCCAAGAUGCGUUGGAUGGCCAUGGACGGCCAGAGCUUGAGUGACCGCGUCCUAUUUCUUGGAUCACCUACAAGCUUCGCCAUGGACGACACGCCUAUGGGCGUGGGCGGGUGCGCCUUCUUUUUCUUGAGGGGCUUCUUGCUCAAAUACAGCUUCAUCGAAUGCGAGGCUAAACUUAUGGAUGGGCUGAGUCCAAAAUGGGGUUCUGUUAAGGCGCAUGUGUGGCUCCAGCCCCCUCCACCACCCAUUGCUUCAAUGCGCGAUAUCAGAAAAAGGGCCAAGGUCUCAACCAAGAAGAAAGCCAGGAAAAAUAAUAAGCAAUUUAGUGGCUUGAGGGCGCCACAAAAACUAUUGGAUCGGAUGGAGUCCUUCACCGAGGUCGCGUCGCAGUCCGGCUCCGGCGUGGCGGCCACGCCGGCCAGCCUAGUGCCGCCACGGUGGGCCGACCUCCCAGCGGACCUGCUCGACGACAUCUCCGGCCGCCUGCACGACGUUGCCGACUUCGUCCGCUUCCACGCCGCCUGCAUCCCCUGGCGCAGAGCGGCGCCGUCACUGCGAUCCCCGGCAGCGACCCAACGGACGUUUCUGCCGUGGCCGCUCGCGAUGUGGGACGACCUCUUGUUGCACUUGCCACUCAACUUCGGAUGCAUCUCGCCAACGUCGAGCUACCGCCAUGGCCGCGACAGUCUCGCCCUGCCGGGCGUAUCAUCUACUAGAAACGAGAACUGGGUGGCUAGGGAAGAUGGCGCGGCCGUCUGGCUUUUCACGGCGCAUCCCCAGCCGACACUUGCCGACCUUCGCACCGGAGCCGUCAUCAAGCUGCCCCGAUUUUCGGAGGAUGAUCACCAUGGCUAUGAGAUAAAGCGGCGGAUGGAGAAUUCCUGUGGCAUUGUGUACCGCGAUGGCACUGUCUUUUUGUACAGUUUUGCCCGGUCCAUCUUCACGGCGGCGAUCUUGCGUCCCGAUGAUACGGCGUGGACUAAUGCGGAAAAACGAGUGGGUUUGAACCAAGGCUGCCAUCUGAAUGCUGCAUACCACGAUGGCAAGAUCCUAGUGUGCAUUGGCAUGCAUUUCUGGUUUGUGCUCGCGCCGGACUUCGAAGGCAAAGGUGGCGCGGGAGGGGGGAAACUCCAAAUGAGGAGUGACGCUACGGAUGAAAUGAAACGUUAUAGCUACGUCUUCAAAUCACGCAAUGAGCUAAUGUGGGUGACAAUACUGGUCGGGCAGGACUGGGACAACUGUGGUUGCAUGGGGCACAACCCGAUUAGCGCACCGAUGGUGACGGUGCAUACCUUCGCAAGGGCGAACGGCGGCAAGAAGAUGCGUUGGAUGCCGAGGGACGGCCAGAGUUUGAAGGAUCGUGUCCUGUUUCUUGGGUCACCUCUGAGCUUCACCGGUGACGCCACACAUCUGGGUGUGGACGGCGCCUGUGCCUACUUUGUCUUUAAGGGAUGCAUGUUCAGAUAUAACCUUAUCAACCACGAGGCUAAACUUAUGGAGCAGCUGAGUCCCAAAUGGGGUUCUGGCAAGGUUCAUGUGUGGCUCCAGCCCUAUCCACCAGCCAUUGCUCCAAUAUACGAAAUCACAAAAAGGGCCAAGGCUUCAACGAAGAAGGAAGCGAAGAAAUAUAAUAGGCGAUUUAGUGGCUUGAACGCACCCUGGAUAUUGUAA